rnacentral:lncRNA from 1 species
CAAAGAGAUCUACAACUAGUUUGUAUUCAUUUGGAAUUUUCAGUACCCAUUUUCCAAGAUAGACAAGAGAUUCACAAAUUUUCCGUCUCUGAAAAUGCUCCUGUUUCUGCCUUGAAGGGCUGUAUCAUAUCUAGCCUGUAAGAAACAAGAGAGGUCUGUGAAGAACAGCUUGGGGAAAAAAAAGCUUUGUCCCUCAAAACUGAUGUUAGUGCUUCAUAAGCCAGAAACAAUGGGAAAGAGGCACCUCACCGAUACCAAGAUGUAUGAUGUUGCUGUUCAGUUGAAAGGUUCGCAGGAGGUGGAAGUAGAGAAGAGAAAGAAAGAGAACUCCUUGAACUUGAAAACAGACCAUCAAUGCUUUAUGGUCUGCCAAUACAAGAACAUCAUCAAUCUAAUAUAAACAGUUUGGUCAAAUGUCUUUGGGACCUAUCUAUUGGGACCUAUUACUUGGGACCUAUUCAUUACUAUUAUAAUUAAUAGUAUUCUUUUGGAAAAUAUGUCACUGUAUUACAUUCAUGUGUUAAUUAUGAAUGCAAUUCACAAAUCUGUGAUAAAAGUUACACUGCACCAGACACUCCAGACACAGGGCUAAAGAGGACUGAUAUUGCCACACAUAAAGAAGUAUUUAUUACAACAGGAAUAGAGUCAUGUAACAAGCAAGUGCAAGCAAUUGUGCUUCUUGGUAGCACAAAUACAGAACCAUGCAGUAUUACAGAGGUGCCUAAGGUGGGGGCCUUAAGAGAAUCUGAACAUUCUGACGUUGAGAAACAAUGCUUAGAGGUAUUUGUUGUUGUUGGUGUUGCUAUAAAAAUCCUCCCCUUUCAUGAACAUUUUUUCUUUACUUAUUUUAUGUGUUUGUUUGAUUCCCUAAUUUAGGCUUUAAAAUGUGCUGACUUUGUAGUCAUAAUUAUGGUACGCUUUUCAAAAUUGUUAAUGCGGGUGACCAAAACCAAUCCCUACCCUUUACAGGCCUGCCACAAUCCUAUUGAUAGCGGCAACUGCCAGCUGAAGGUUUUGGAUCUUGUGAUUGCAAUGGAAACUGGCACGAUCAAUCCACUUAUUUGCUAAAUUACCCGUGCUUCCUCUACUGUAAUUCCCCCCUGCCCCCUGCGAGACAGAGUCUCGCUCUGUCGCCAGGCUGGAGUGCAGUGGCCCGGCAUGAUCUCGGCUCGCUGCAAGCUCCGCUUCCUGGGUUCAGGCGAUUCCCCUACCUCAGCCUCUGGAGUAGCUGGGAUUACAGGCGCGCGCCACCACCCCCAGCUAAUUAUCAUUAUUAUUAUUUUUGUAUUUUAGUAGAGAAGGGAUUUCACCAUGUUGACCAGGAUGGUCUCGAUCUCCUGAUCUCGUAAUCUGCCCUCCUCGGCCUCUCAAAGUGCUGGGAUUAUAGGCUUGAGCCACCGUGUCCUCUACUGUAAUUUUACUUGCCCCCUGUGGGGUAAAUAUUUUCAACAUACUUUUUGGUACUGCAGUAAAUCACAUUCUAUCCUCAAGGAUGAAAAGCAGGAAGAUUCUUAUUCAUUAGAAUAGAGUUUCUUCCCAAACAUCCAUGCAAGUUUAAAGGCUCCUAUUGACUAUGUAUUAGAAGCACUUUUUUUGUUGUGUUUUGUUUUUUACUGAAAUGAUAUUGUUGGCUCUACAAACAAAUGAAACCCAAUAAUGGGUUUCUCUAUUCUUGCUGGUCUUUUCCUUCUUAAAAGAAUCAUGUGGUCAUUCCUUAUUUGAAAAAAAAAAAGAAAAAGACACUGAAAUGCUGCAAUGCCUGAUAAGGAGAAUCUGCAACACUUGGGCAUCUUGUGUAUAAGAAAAGAUUCUUAUCCUUAUGCUACUGUCAUGGAGCUUGGAUAUUUACAAACCUACCGCUUUUGACAAGCUUGUGAGAAUUUACAUAGUCUCACACCGCCCCUAAUUUUUAUGGCAGAAUGUGUCUCACAUUUGUAAUAUUCUCAGAGCUCCUCAGGAUUCUAACCUCUCUAACUAGAGAUGGUUUCUGAGCAGGCAAGAAGGAAAAAGAGGCAAAAACUGAUUGCAUCUUUUGUUCGCUUUUCAAAGCCAGAUCUCGAAAUUCCCAAGAAUCCUUAAAGUUGGAGACAUGUAGCUAAUGGAAUUCUAGUCAAUCCACAUAUUUAUGUGUUUGGAAAGUGGCUGUUAUCAGUUCUUCUUAACCAUGUGCACUAUUGUCAGGGCCCUUCCAGGCAGCCACACCUGACGAAAGCUGUGAUUGCCCUAGAUUUCCACUAGAGACCUCUAGCUGAUCACAGGAGCCUGGAAAGCAGCUCUCAUUACUGGGCGUUUCUCUAGAAGCAGCAGAGGAUAAGAGUUUGCCAGUUGCCCCUGGGAGAAGGUGGACUUUACCAUCAAAGGAAAAUAAUUCUGUAUAAUCUUUCUCUCUCUCAUUUUUUUUUAAAGCAAAUUGAGGCUUAUUCAAGUAGGUAUAUUGUGAAACACUGAAGAGGAAAUAAUUUCUGUGUCUUAAAGCUAUGGCAUACAAAAGACAAAAUAGAGAUUUUUAUAGAUUGAAAGGCCCCUUCUCUAAGGGGCUGUUCAUACUGAUAUUUGGAGGCCAGCCUCAAUUCUCAGUGUUUGAGAGCUUCUCCUGACAGGUAUGAGGGAGAAUGAGUUUACUCGCAGUCUGAGAGCUUUUAGGCAUUAUUGUGAAGCUGAACAAAGUGCUCCCUGUGCCCCACCAUGCCCCAGCCUUUUACUGCAGCCCCCUAUAUGUGAAGGAUGGUAGCCCUCCGGGUGCAUACCACCUUCAAUGCCAGGCCUAUAGCUGUAAUCCCAUGCAACAGAAACAGAUGGGAUACAUCUGUAAGGAGAGACUGGUAGAUGAAGUUUCACCGUUUUUCCAAAAACGCAAAACACAUUAAUCUCCAUUUGCCUUUGAAUAGUCUGCAGUAGAAACAGAGGACCAAAAGGGAAAAUAAUCUCCCCUCAUUUAACCUGUGCCCCUGUGAAAAAUUGUGAUAGCUUGUAUUUCAGAAACUGAGUGUAACUAAUUUUGCCCUCUAUCCAUGGUCUUCACUACACAGCAGCAUUAGAAAGAGAAUCAAAAUCGGAUCAGAUCAAUGAAUCUAUAAAGCCUUUUUUGGAAUGUAUUGCCACCACGAGUUGAUCAGUUUCUCCAGAGGCCCUCUAAUACCCAGUUUUCUCUGGGGCAAUUGUAGAUCCUUUUGCAUUCAUUUUUAGGACAAAUCUUGUCAUUCUUUUAGGUAGACUGUCAUUUGUUCAUUCAUUUAUUCAUUUGUUUUUCAAAUGCCUAUGCUGCUCCAGUCGCUGUGAUUUGCAAAGAAAACACAAAUGAUGAUAUACAGGGCUUGAGUGGGAGUUCCUAACAUUGGAUCCACAGAUUCCUAAAAGUGAACGACUACUUCAAGAUGUCUGUAAUCCUCCUAAGAUGUGUGUGUGCUUUAACUAUGAGAAAAAUCCAAGAUUUAGAACAAUCUUUAAAGGGAUUGAUGUAAAAACUAUUGUAGAGGCUGACAGUUACACGAGCAAGUAAUCAGAAGACUACAUUAGAAUUGUCAUAUAGUAAAGAUACAGUAUGUACAGUGUCACAUGAGGUCACAGGUGGAGUUUUCUCAAUUGUCACUGAUGACACAGGUCAGUGAAGGCUACAGAGAAGGUAGCAUUUGUGUUAUAUGUGAAGGUUGAGUAGGAAGUGGUGAGAUGACUUGAAGGGAGGGUAGACGAAAGUCAGUGUGCUCUGAGGGGCAGUUCACCUCCAGGGUCUGAGGCCACCCUGCAAGUUGGAGCAUGAUUGGAAUUUUCUCUCCUGCAACCUGACAAAUGAAGCGCGCUUUGCCAUGAGUCAACUGUUACGGGAAAAGGAAUUCCACAGGCAUGCCCUGACUGACCACAAAUGGGCGAGAGCACAUGUGAGUACAGAAUGCCCAAAGGUUGGUGUGGAAUAAUCAAAACGAUUCAAAUGCUUGGUGCUGUACCAGAGUUGUAGGAGGCCUAGCCUCAGCACUGUACUGCUGCUCUCACUCUCCAACCUGCACUGGAGAGGAAGGUCAACUACAGUAGGUGGAGCUCUGCACCAGGUCCAGAAAGCAGACCUUGAUUCUGCAGCUGACCAUCUUCCUGCUCACUUAAUUCCACCAGCCUCCACUUCUGCUUCUGCACUUAACAGUUACAUUUAUUGAGGACCUCUAUAUCCCAGCCACCGUACUGGGAUACAGGUUAAGAUUAAGCUGUUUCUUUCAUGUGAGUCUCAUCACUGAGAUCUGAUUCCACCUACAAAGGUUGCCUCUAGGGCUUUAGAUUGAGAUGUUAUCAUGGACUGAACUGUGUCCCUGCAAAAUUCAUACGUUGAAGCCCCAGCUCCCAGUGUGGCUGUAGUUGGAGAUAAGACUUUUUUAAGGAGGUAAUCAAGCUUAAAUGAAGUCAUAAAGGUGGAGCUCUAAUCCAACAGGGUCGAUGCCCUCAUAAGAAGAGGAAGAGACAUCAAGAGUGCACAUGCACAGAGAAAAGGCCAUGUGAAGUCACAAGAAGAUGGCUGUCUGCAGGCAAAGGGGAGAGGCCUCACCAGAGACUAAUCCUGCCAGCACCAUAAUCUUCAACUUCCAGUCUCCAGAACUUUAAGAAAAUAAAUUUAUGUUGUUUGAGCCCAUCAAUCUUGUACUUUGUUGUAGUAGCCUGAGCAGAGGAAUUCAUCUGGAUUGACUUCUUGUUGGUCUGGUGUUUAUUGUAUUCUGCCUGAAAUGGGUUGCAGACUUACCAAAUGUGACAGAUCUUGUACCAUGUACAUGUACACAGCUAAGUGUUCUUGAGAGGGCACUUUCUAAAAGACUUUAUACUCAGCUUAUUAGAGAGGAU